CCAAGAGAAGUCUGUUUUAUGACCAUGGAAAACCUGUUGUUUGGUGCAGCCACCAUCAUGUUAUGGAGAUACCUUCUUUCCUUAAAUCUCAUGAACCAAUCUCUGCUAGCUUCCAACUUUUCUUCUGCAGCUUCCUCGCCUCUCUCAGCCAUCAAAGAAGAGAGUUAGGACCUUCCUCUGGAUUAGGCUUUGACUUAAGGGAUUGUUAUGGCUGAUUUGAUCUUCUGUAUAGACCACGAAAACUUUUUCCCUCUCAGCAAUAAGUCUGUUUCACUCUGUUACCAUUUGUGUGUUCACUGAAGUCGUGCUUUCAAUUUCCUUCAAGAGCUUUUCCUUUGCAUUCACAGCUUAGCUAACUCUAAGUCUUUCUCAACUU